rnacentral:lncRNA from 1 species
UCCCAGGUUAGGGGGAGGUUAGGGAUUCGCUAACAUGUUUAACCCCGCCACAUUAUUUAUGUAUGUGCCUGUCCCAAGUCAGGAGCCUGUAAUUCAGUGGUUGUCGUUUGUUUAUGUGUUACAUAUUUGUUUUUCGUUCAUUUUUUUUUACAUAAAUAAGGCCGUUAGUUUUCUCGUUUGAAUUGUUUUACAUUGUCUUAUCGGGGCCUUUUAUAGCUGACUAUGCGGUAUGGGCUUUGCUCAUUGUUGAAGGCCGUACGGUGACCUAUAGUUGUUAAUGUCUGUUUCAUUUUGGUCUUUUUUGGAUACUUGUCUCAUUGGCAAUCAUACCACAUCUUCUUUUUUAUAUAAUC